rnacentral:rRNA from 1 species
GUGGGGAAUUUUGGACAAUGGGCGCAAGCCUGAUCCAGCAAUGCCGCGUGCAGGAUGAAGGCCUUCGGGUUGUAAACUGCUUUUGUACGGAACGAAAAGCCCUGGGUUAAUACCCUGGGGUCAUGACGGUACCGUAAGAAUAAGCACCGGCUAACUACGUGCCAGCAGCCGCGGUAAUACGUAGGGUGCGAGCGUUAAUCGGAAUUACUGGGCGUAAAGCGUGCGCAGGCGGUUUUGUAAGACAGAGGUGAAAUCCCCGGGCUCAACCUGGGAACUGCCUUUGUGACUGCAAGGCUAGAGGACGGCAGAGGGGGAUGGAAUUCCGCGUGUAGCAGUGAAAUGCGUAGAUAUGCGGAGGAACACCGAUGGCGAAGGCAGUCCCCUGGGCCUGUACUGACGCUCAUGCACGAAAGCGUGGGGAGCAAACAGGAUUAGAUACCCUUGUAGUCC